GACGAACGCUGGCGGCGUGCUUAACACAUGCAAGUCGAACGGAAAGACCCUGCUUUUGUGGGGUGCUCGAGUGGCGAACGGGUGAGUAACACGUGAGUAACCUGCCCUUGACUUUGGGAUAACUUCAGGAAACUGGGGCUAAUACCGGAUAGGAGCUCCUGCUGCAUGGUGGGGGUUGGAAAGUUUCGGCGGUUGGGGAUGGACUCGCGGCUUAUCAGCUUGUUGGUGGGGUAGUGGCUUACCAAGGCUUUGACGGGUAGCCGGCCUGAGAGGGUGACCGGCCACAUUGGGACUGAGAUACGGCCCAGACUCCUACGGGAGGCAGCAGUUGGGAAUAUUGCACAAUGGGCGGAAGCCUGAUGCAGCAACGCCGCGUGCGGGAUGACGGCCUUCGGGUUGUAAACCGCUUUCGCCUGUGACGAAGCGUGAGUGACGGUAAUGGGUAAAGAAGCACCGGCUAACUACGUG
rnacentral:rRNA from 1 species